GUGCACUCAACCCAAGCCAGGUGGUAUCUGCCUUUAAAAUAUGUUGACUUACAAUGGCUGUGAAUAGCACCCUCCUCAGUAGAGUACACAGUCUGCUGUUUAUACAGGUUGCCCUUUCGGACACUGAUGAUAGCC